CGACCGGCCACACUGGGACUGAGACACGGCCCAGACUCCUGCGGGAGGCAGCAGUGGGGAAUAUUGCGCAAUGGGCGAAAGCCUGACGCAGCGACGCCGCGUGGGGGAUGACGGCCUUCGGGUUGUAAACCUCUUUUACCACCAACGCAGGCUCCGGGUUCUCUCGGGGUUGACGGUAGGUGGGGAAUAAGGACCGGCUAACUACGUGCCAGCAGCCGCGGUAAUACGUAGGGUCCGAGCGUUGUCCGGAAUUAUUGGGCGUAAAGAGCUCGUAGGCGGCGUGUCGCGUCUGCUGUGAAAGACCGGGGCUUAACUCCGGUUCUGCAGUGGAUACGGGCAUGCUAGAGGUAGGUAGGGGAGACUGGAAUUCCUGGUGUAGCGGUGAAAUGCGCAGAUAUCAGGAGGAACACCGGUGGCGAAGGCGGGUCUCUGGGCCUUACCUGACGCUGAGGAGCGAAAGCAUGGGGAGCGAACAGGAUUAGAUACCCUGGUAGUCCAUGCCGUAAACGUUGGGCGCUAG
rnacentral:rRNA from 1 species